rnacentral:rRNA from 1 species
UACGUAGGGGGCGAGCGUUGUCCGGAAUCAUUGGGCGUAAAGAGCGUGUAGGUGGCUUGGAAAGUCUUACGUGAAAGCCUGCGGCUCAACCGCAGAAGUGCGUGGGAAACUACCUCGCUAGAGUCCGGAAGAGGAGAGCGGAAUUCCUGGUGUAGCGGUGGAAUGCGCAGAUAUCAGGAGGAACACCCGUGGCGAAGGCGGCCACUGUCGGGACGGCACUGACG